rnacentral:rRNA from 1 species
UAGGGAAUCUUCCGCAAUGGACGCAAGUCUGACGGAGCAACGCCGCGCGAGUGAAGAAGGAUUUCGGUUCGUAAAACUCUGUUGUUAGAGAAGAACAGCGCAUAGAGUAACUGUUAUGCGUGUGACGGUAUCUAACCAGAAAGCCACGGCUAACUACGUGCCAGCAGCCGCGGUAAUACGUAGGUGGCAAGCGUUGUCCGGAUUUAUUGGGCGUAAAGCGAGCGCAGGCGGUCAAUUAAGUCUGAUGUGAAAGCGCCCGGCUCAACCGGGGAGGGUCAUUGGAAACUGGUUGAAUUGAGUGCAGAAGGGGAGAGUGGAAUUCCAUGGGUAGCGGUGAAAUGCGUAGAUAUAUGGAGAACCACCAGUGGCGAAGGCGACUCUCUGGUCUGUAACUGACGCUGAGGCUCGAAAGCGUGGGUAGCAAACAGG